ACCUACAGAACCUGGUGAAUAGC
rnacentral:piRNA from 1 species